GGCCAUUGCACUUUUGGACAACUCUACUAAAUGGAUUUUCCUCAUGCCAUCGCAUAACUGCUACCUGCCACCAGAGCCUUAGAAAUACAUGGUUUUCCAUCAAGCACUCAUGGAACAUGUCACUGUGGGCACUUCUAGGGGGGAUUCAUGAUGGGUCCUCCAAGAUCAACUAAAUAUAAAACAAGCUCCCAGCUGAGGCAGCUGCUCUCGCCUCUUCUUUCACUUGCUCCUGGCAGCACAGCAAUCCCUGCAAGUUACUCAGACCCUCAGGACUCCUUGUUCAAGUGCAAUGGAGGACCAUGCAGAUGGCAGGGAAAACCAAAGAAAGCUCAGGUGGCCCAUCAUGGCUGUCAUCGGUGGAAGAAUGUCUCUGUUUAACACUGAACCUUAGUAAUGA
rnacentral:lncRNA from 1 species